ACGCUCGACACCUACGGAGGCAGCAGUGGGGGAUAUUGCACAAUGGGGGAAACCCUGAUGCAGCGACGCCGCGUGAGUGAAGAAGUAUUUCGGUAUGUAAAGCUCUAUCAGCAGGGAAGAGAAUGACGGUACCUGAGUAAGAAGCCCCGGCUAACUACGUACCAGCAGCCGCGGUAAUCUGAGCGGCUGCAAGGC
rnacentral:rRNA from 1 species